UAGCAUAUCAAUAAGCGGAGGAAAAGAAACCAACAGGGGAUUGCCUCAGUAACGGCGAGUGAAGCGGCAACAGCUCAAAUUUGAAAUCUGGCGCCUUUGGCGUCCGAGUUGUAAUUUGUAGAGGAUGCUUCGGCGAGCGUGCCGGUCUAAGUUCCUUGGAACAGGACGUCACAGAGGGUGAGAAUCCCGUACGUGCCCGGCCGCGCGAGCCAUGUGAAGCUCCUUCGACGAGUCGAGUUGUUUGGGAAUGCAGCUCUAAAUGGGAGGUAAAUUUCUUCUAAAGCUAAAUAUUGGCCAGAGACCGAUAGCGCACAAGUAGAGUGAUCGAAAGAUGAAAAGCACUUUGGAAAGAGAGUUAAAAAGUACGUGAAAUUGUUGAAAGGGAAGCGCUUGCGACCAGACUCGCCCGCGGCAUUCGGCCGGCCUUCUGGCCGGUUUACUUUGCCGCGGUCGGGCCAGCAUCGGUUCGAGCGGCCGGAUAAAGGCUUCGGGAAUGUAGCUCCCCUCGGGGAGUGUUAUAGCCCGAGGCGUCAUGCGGCCAGCCCGGACCGAGGUCAACGCAUUUUGCUAGGAUGCUGGCGUAAUGGUCGUAAGCGGCCCGUCUUGAAACACGGACCAAGGAGUCUAACAUCUAUGCGAGUGUUUGGGUGUCAAACCCAUACGCGCAAUGAAAGUGAACGGAGGUGGGAACCCCUCGCGGGGUGCACCAUCGACCGAUCCUGAUGUCUUCGGAUGGAUUUGAGUAAGAGCAUAGCUGUUGGGACCCGAAAGAUGGUGAACUUUGCGUGAGUAGGGUGAAGCCAGAGGAAACUCUGGUGGAGGCUCGCAGCGGUUCUGACGUGCAAAUCGAUCGUCAAACUUGCGCAAAGGGCGAAAGACUAAUCGA
rnacentral:rRNA from 1 species